GAAAAACAGUAUUGUGCUCAACGACUACUAAAGCACUUUUAGAGAUUCAUGUAAAUUUUUUGGAAAUUAAACAUAAUUUUAACCACUUAAAAAUAAAUGUUCCAACGAAGUAACAGCUUCUCUGCCAUUUUAAUCGGAGGGUCAGACGUUUCCUGUUCUUUCCUUUCCAGCAACUCCCUAUGUAUCUUGCUGAUGGUAGUCUGUAGUUUUGCUAAAGCACGCUCGUACGUUUGUUUCAAGGAUUUAUCAUUUUUCAGGAGUAGUCUGUACUUGAGGAACUCGGCCAAUACAGGGUCAUUGUUAGGGAGGAGUGCUUUCACGAUGUAGACUGUAGAAUCUGUAUCAAAGCUUGCAACUGAUGCAAAUUCUCGUGGUCGCCUGUGUUGCAAUGACUGCCCUUUUUCAACACAACUCCCUGAAGCUGUACCUGUGCCUUGUUCACCACUAGUUUUGACCCGCAUCCUAUUCCUUGUGCACCAAAAUUGUUUACUAGGUAAAAGAUCAAUUAGAAAAAAGGUUUGUAAGCAUAGGAGUCUUUUGAGAAACCCGAAUCCAAUCCUAAAUAAUUUAGAACUAACUCAAACCGAAAAAUUUUGGA